rnacentral:rRNA from 1 species
AUGGGGGUCAUGUUCUCCUGCCCCGCGGAUGACUAUGACCCGAUGGAGGAAGGCGCCCUCGCGCCGGCGGACGGCGGGGAGCCGACGGUCCUCAGGGCCUUGGGCUCCGGGAAGCUGCUCAUACAGGGGUCGCUCAGCUUCAAGAGGGAGCAGCAGCUGGACGACAGCCCGGGCUCUCUCCAGCUGGAGACCGAGAUCUCCAUCAGGACAGCCGGCGACAUUGCCGGCGCCGAGGACGAGGCCGAGGCGCCGCCGCCGCUUGCGCCGCGGGAGCUCGCCAGGCUGAGGGCGGGGGCGGAGAGCCCGAGGCACGAUGCUGCGGCGCUCAGGCUGCAGAAGGUGUACAAGAGCUUCCGCACGCGGCGGCAGCUCGCCGACUGCGCCGUGCUGGUGGAGCAGAGCUGGUGGAAGCUGCUGGACUUCGCGCUCCUCAACCGCAGCUCCGUCUCCUUCUUCGACAUCGAGAAGCAGGAGACGGCCGUGUCCAAAUGGUCCAGGGCCAGAUCCCGAGCUGCCAAGGUUGGAAAGGGACUGUCCAAGGAUGACAAGGCGCAGAAACUCGCAUUGCAGCAUUGGCUCGAAGCGAUUGACCCGCGCCACCGCUACGGCCACAACCUGCACUACUACUAUGAUUGCUGGCUCCACAGCGAAAGCAAGCAGCCUUUCUUCUACUGGCUUGAUGUUGGAGAAGGCAAAGAGAUCAAUCUUGAAGGCAAGUGCUCCCGGUCCAAGCUUCUGAGCCAGUGCAUCAAGUACCUCGGCCCGAAGGAAAGAGAGGACUAUGAGGUUGUAAUUGAGGACAGCAAGUUCUUGUACAAGAAGAGCCGGCAAAUAAUCGACACGUCCUUCGGUCCGAGAGAUGCAAAGUGGAUCUUUGUUCUUAGCACAGCUAAGACCUUGUAUGUUGGUCAGAAGAAGAAAGGUAAAUUUCAGCAUUCUAGCUUUCUUGCUGGGGGAGCUACUUCGGCUGCUGGGAGACUGGUUGCUGAAAAUGGAACCCUCAAGGCUAUUUGGCCUCACAGUGGUCACUACCGCCCUACAGAGGAGAACUUCCAGGAGUUCAAAAGCUUCCUCAAUGACAACUUGGUUGAUCUCACUGACGUGAAGAUGAGCCCAGCAGAGGAGGACGAGGAAUUCUGGGGCAGCCUCAAGAGGAUCGCUUCGGAGAACGACAAAUCUGAAGAUGGCCCUGCUGCACCUGAAGAAACCGGCUCUCUUCAGACAGCUCAGGUCGUUCAAACGACAUCUACAGAGACAGAAAAACGCGAGGAACCGGUGGUGGCGCGCGAGAAGAUCCUUCAGAGGAUCAACUCCAAGAAGGACAUGAAAUCGUACCAGCUCGGCAAGCAGUUGUCCUUCAAGUGGACGACCGGGGCAGGCCCUCGGAUCGGGUGCGUGCGCGACUACCCUUCGGAGCUCCAGGCGCACGCGCUGGAGCAGAUGAACCUGUCGCCGCGGUGCGCCGCCGGGCCUGCGUGCACCCGGUUCGCCUCGCCGCUGAGGCGAAGCUUCAACAGCAUCGUGACUGUGACAAGGGGGUGUGAGAAUGAGACGUCCACGCCGAGGGGAGCGUUUCGGUCGCCUCUGCAGCAUGGACUGGUUGCAGAUGAGAGGUGA